AACGAACGCUGGCGGCAGGCUUAACACAUGCAAGUCGAACGGGUGUAGCAAUGCAUCAGUGGCAGACGGGUGAGUAACACGUGGGAACCUUCCUAGGGGUACGGAACAACUCAGGGAAACUUGAGCUAAUACCGUAUACGUCCGUGAGGAGAAAGAUUUAUCGCCCUUAGACGGGCCCGCGUCGGAUUAGCUAGUUGGUGGGGUAAUGGCCUACCAAGGCGACGAUCCGUAGCUGAUCUUAGAGGAUGAUCAGCCACACUGGGACUGAGACACGGCCCAGACUCCUACGGGAGGCAGCAGUGGGGAAUCUUGGACAAUGGGCGCAAGCCUGUACCAGCCAUGCCGCGUGAGUGAAGAAGGUCUUCGGAUUGUAAAGCUCUUUUGCCAGGGACGAUAAUGACGGUACCUGGAGAAUAAGCCCCGGCAAACUUCGUGCCAGCAGCCGCAGUAAUAC
rnacentral:rRNA from 1 species